CCUACGGGCGGCAGCAGUGAGGAAUAUUGGUCAAUGGGCGCGAGCCUGAACCAGCAAAGUCGCGUGAGGGAAGACGGUCCUAUGGAUUGUAAACCUCUUUUGUCGGGGAGCAAAAGACGCCACGCGUGGCGUUCCGAGAGUACCCGAAGAAAAAGCAUCGGCUAACUCCGUGCCAGCAGCCGCGGUAAUACGGAGGAUGCGAGCGUUAUCCGGAUUUAUUGGGUUUAAAGGGUGCGCAGGCGGAAGAUCAAGUCAGCGGGAAAAUUGAGAGGCUCAACCUCUUCGAGCCGUUGAAACUGGUUUUCUUGAGUGAGUGAGAAGUAUGCGGAAUGCGUGGUGUAGCGGUGAAAUGCAUAGAUAUCACGCAGAACUCCGAUGGCGAAGGCAGCAUACCGGCGCUCAACUGACGCUCAUGCACGAAAGUGUGGGUAUCGAACAGGAUUAGAUACCCGUGUAGUC
rnacentral:rRNA from 1 species